UGGCGUGCGGGUCUAUAAUGCAGUCGAGCGGACAGAUGGGAGCUUGCUCCCUGAUGUUAGCGGCGGACGGGUGAGUAACACGUGGGUAACCUGCCUGUAAGACUGGGAUAACUCCGGGAAACCGGGGCUAAUACCGGAUGGUUGUUUGAACCGCAUGGUUCAAACAUAAAAGGUGGCUUCGGCUACCACUUACAGAUGGACCCGCGGCGCAUUAGCUAGUUGGUGAGGUAACGGCUCACCAAGGCGACGAUGCGUAGCCGACCUGAGAGGGUGAUCGGCCACACUGGGACUGAGACACGGCCCAGACUCCUACGGGAGGCAGCAGUAGGGAAUCUUCCGCAAUGGACGAAAGUCUGACGGAGCAACGCCGCGUGAGUGAUGAAGGUUUUCGGAUCGUAAAGCUCUGUUGUUAGGGAAGAACAAGUACCGUUCGAAUAGGGCGGUACCUUGACGGUACCUAACCAGAAAGCCACGGCUAACUACGUGCCAGCAGCCGCGGUAAUACGUAGGUGGCAAGCGUUGUCCGGAAUUAUUGGGCGUAAAGGGCUCGCAGGCGGUUUCUUAAGUCUGAUGUGAAAGCCCCCGGCUCAACCGGGGAGGGUCAUUGGAAACUGGGGAACUUGAGUGCAGAAGAGGAGAGUGGAAUUCCACGUGUAGCGGUGAAAUGCGUAGAGAUGUGGAGGAACACCAGUGGCGAAGGCGACUCUCUGGUCUGUAACUGACGCUGAGGAGCGAAAGCGUGGGGAGCGAACAGGAUUAGAUACCCUGGUAGUCCACGCCGUAAACGAUGAGUGCUAAGUGUUAGGGGGUUUCCGCCCCUUAGUGCUGCAGCUAACGCAUUAAGCACUCCGCCUGGGGAGUACGGUCGCAAGACUGAAACUCAAAGGAAUUGACGGGGGCCCGCACAAGCGGUGGAGCAUGUGUUUAAUUCGAAGCAACGCGAAGACCUUACCAGUCUUGACAUCCUCUGACAAUCCUAGAGAUAGGACGUCCCCUUCGGGCAGAGUGACAGGUGGUGCAUGCUUGUCGUCAGCUCGUGUUCGUGAGAUGUUGGUUAAGUCCCGCACGAGCGCACCCUGAUCUAGUGCAGCAUCAGUGGCACUCUAAGGUGACUGCGGUGACACGAGACGGUGGGAUGACGUCAAUCUCAUGCCUUAUGACUGGGCUACCCUGUCUCUCACAUGACAGAACUAGUCAACGUAUCGCGGAGGUAGGCCAAUUCCA
rnacentral:rRNA from 1 species